GAUGAAGAACGUAGCGAAAUGCGAUAAGUAAUGUGAAUUGCAGAAUUCAGUGAAUCAUCGAAUCUUUGAACGCACCUUGCGCCCUUUGGCCAUUCCGAAGGGCAUGCCUGUUUGAGUAUCAUGAACACCUCAACUCUUUAUGGUUUUCCAUGAUGAGCUUGGACUCUGGGGGUUUUGCUGGCUCACAGUCGGCUCCUCUAAAAUGAAUCAGCUUACCAGUGUUUGGUGGGUAUCAUGGGUGUGAUAACUAUCUACGCUUGUGGUUUUUCCACCAGGUAACCUUCAGCAGUGGAGGUUCGCUGGAGCUCAUAGAUGUCUCUCCUCAGUGAGGACAGACCUUUGAAUGUUUGAUCUCAAAUCAGGUAGGACUACCCGCUGAACUUAAGCAUAUCAAUAAGCGGAGA
rnacentral:misc_RNA from 1 species